rnacentral:rRNA from 1 species
GUGGGGAAUUUUGGACAAUGGGCGCAAGCCUGAUCCAGCAAUGCCGCGUGCAGGAAGAAGGCCUUCGGGUUGUAAACUGCUUUUGUACGGAACGAAACGGUCCUGGUUAAUACCCGGGGCUAAUGACGGUACCGUAAGAAUAAGCACCGGCUAACUACGUGCCAGCAGCCGCGGUAAUACGUAGGGUGCAAGCUUUAAUCGGAAUUACUGGGCGUAAAGCGUGCGCAGGCGGUGCUGUAAGACAGGCGUGAAAUCCCCGGGCUUAACCUGGGAAUUGCGCUUGUGCCUGCAGUGCUGGAGUGCGGCAGAGGGGGAUGGAAUUCCGCGUGUAGCAGUGAAAUGCGUAGAUAUGCGGAGGAACACCGAUGGCGAAGGCAAUCCCCUGGGCCUGCACUGACGCUCAUGCACGAAAGCGUGGGGAGCAAACAGGAUUAGAUACCCUGGUAGUCC